rnacentral:misc_RNA from 1 species
AACGCAUCUUGCGCUCCUUGGUAUUCCGAGGAGCAUGCCUGUUUGAGUGUUAUUAAAUUCUCAACCCCGAGCGGAUUCGCGUUCGCUUCGGAGGCUUGGACGGUGGAGCGUGCUGGCCUUGCGGUCGGCUCCUCUGAAAUGCAUUCGCGGAAUUGACUCUGGUCCGUUUCGGUCGUCGGUGUGAUAAUAACGUUGCGCCGUCGAUCAGGACCGCGGAGACGCCGCAUACAAUGGUCUUCGGACGACUUUUUAAGGCUUAACCUCAAAUCAGGUAGGACUACCCGCUGAACUUAA